UGAGGAAUAUUGAGCAAUGGGCGAAAGCCAGACUCAGCAACGCCGCGUGGACGAUGAAGGCCUUCGGGUCGUAAAGUCCUUUUCAGGGGGACGAGAGAGGACGGUACCCCUGGAAUAAGUCACGGCUAACUACGUGCCAGCAGCCGCGGUAAAACGUAGGUGGCAAGCGUUAUCCGGAUUCACUGGGCGUAAAGCGCCUGCAGGCGGUCUUGUAAGUGGGAUGUGAAAUCUCCUGGCUUAACUGGGAGGGGCCAUUCCAUACUGCGGGACUCGAGGGCAGAAGAGGGAAGCGGAAUUCCCGGUGUAGUGGUGAAAUGCGUAGAUAUCGGGAGGAACACCAGUGGCGAAGGCGGCUUCCUGGCCUGCUCCUGACGCUAAGAGGCGAAAGCUAGGGGAGCGAACGGGAUUAGAAACCCCGGUAGUCCUAGCCAUAAACGAUGGAUACUGGGUGUCGGCGGUCCUAACCCCGUCGGUGCCGAAGCUAACGCGUUAAGUAUCCCGCCUGGGGACUACGGCCGCAAGGUUA
rnacentral:rRNA from 1 species